rnacentral:tRNA from 1 species
UCACCGAGAAGCUAAAUAGCAUUAACCUUUUAAGUUAAAGAUUGAGAGCAUAAAUCUCUCCUCAGUGAU